UUGUUGCUGGCCCUCGAAUGGGGGCAUGUGCACACUCUGUUUACACAUCCACUCACACCUGUGCACUCUCUGUAGUACUGUGGUCUGGGGGUUCUGUCCUCCUACUGUGGUUCUGCGUAUUUACACACACACUGUAAUAAAGUCUCAUGGAAUGUAUGUCGCGUUUAACGCAAUGAAAUACAACUUUCAGCAACGGAUCUCUUGGCUCUCGCAUCGAUGAAGAACGCAGCGAAAUGCGAUAAGUAAUGUGAAUUGCAGAAUUCAGUGAAUCAUCGAAUCUUUGAACGCACCUUGCGCCCUUUGGCUAUUCCGAAGGGCAUGCCUGUUUGAGUAUCAUGAACACCUCAACUCUCAUGGCUUGCCAUGAUGAGCUUGGACUUGGGGGUUUUGCUGGCCUGUGGUCAGCUCCCCUCAAAUGCAUCAGCUUUCCAGUGUUUGGUGGCACCACAGGUGUGAUAAACAUCUACACAUGUGGUUCCCCACCAUAUAACCUUCAGUGAUGGAGGUUCGCUGGAGCUCACAAAUGUCUUUCCUCAGUGAAGACAGUUCUUUGAUUGUUUGAUCUCAAAUCAGGUAGGACUACCCGCUGAACUUAAGCAUAUCAAUAAGCGGAGGAAAAGAAACUAACAAGGAUUCCCCUAGUAACUGCGAGUGAAGCGGGAAGAGCUCAAAUUUAAAAUCUGAUGUGCCUCUGGCCGUCCGAAUUGUAGUCUGGAGAAGCGUUUUCCGUGCUGGACCGUGUA
rnacentral:rRNA from 1 species